CGGCAAGCCCUCUCCGAUGAUAUCCCGCCUUAUCAGACGAACCGAACAGUGGACGGUGACACAUGUGUGUAGUUAACAUAUACACGGGAUAAAGUACAGUGUCUGAUGCACGUAUGGCUGCAUGUUCAAAGUCAACGCAUUAGCGGUAUAUAAGGUGCCAUCCAACCCCCUUCCCCGCUCACAUAUCACUCAAUGUGCUCUGCUUUCGACGAUGCCUCCUGUACUUCUGUUUAUUGUUAUUGUAUCGCUCUGUUGAAUACUGCAGGCGCCUUUGUGUGCCAUUAUCACUGGCCAUCCAUAGCCUGACACCCACUCGAGAGUCGCGCCAGGUAGCCAGGUAGAUGAGCGAGCCCAGACUGCGGCGGGAAUGGGUCUUUUACUUCGGAUACCUGCCGCGGUAUGGGGCUAUAAAGCCAGGAGAGGUGCAAUUCAGGUGUUAACAGGACACAUGUCCUGACACGUUUAGAGUCCACCUGUUGUUUAGGAGACCAUUGAUUUUCAAGAGCGCCUCUGUAACCAUAGCUAUGGGCACGGACAGAGCCGUAGCCAAAACAAAUGAGUGCAAAUGUUUGGCAGAGUUUUCGUAGCCCUGUGUUCUGGCCUGGCCUGCAAUUGUCGUUCUAUUGCCGUGUGGAAGGAAGAGCCUUUGCGGUUUGCUCAUUUCCCAAAAUAAAUGUGCUUUAUGUGUGCGAGUGGCCUCAAGUGCUGCUGCAUCUCUGGCAGGGGUCUGAUCUGUGCUAAAAUAUGCAUCGGGUACGUCGUGCAUCCAAUCCAUAGAAGUAUAUCAUGCCUAUCCGCCGCCCGGUUCUCGGGUUCUUUGAAGCUUCUUCCGCCCUACGGCUCACUGCUCCUCAUCGACAGCAGGCGGCAGCCAAUGACUCAUAGUUUGCUGCCCCUUGGGACGGGACGAAGUCUGUGGUCUGUCGUGUGCCGUGCAUCGCGAGGUAUUUAGGGAAUAAAGCCAAGAACACCAACAACAUCGACAUCAACAUCAGGCGAUGACGUGUCUGCUCUUAAUUAUAAACUAAAAAAAAA